UCUUAUGGAUUAACAAAGAAAGUGGUUUCUUGAAGUGGAAUCUACUCCUGGUGAAGGUGCUGUGAA
rnacentral:pre_miRNA from 1 species